UUAAGAGUGGGAUGUGUGCUGGAAAGGGUUCACACAUAUAAUCCCAGCACUUUGGGAGGCUGAGGUAGGAAGAUCGCUGGAACCCAGGAGUUCAAGACCAUCCUGGGUAAGAUAACAGCACCUCAGAGAAGAUUUGGAAAAUAAAUGAGCUGAUGAGAGCAAUUUUCUGCUUCCUGGGCCACCACAGUCUUCUUUGCUGUUUUUGAUUGCAACCAUUUUCAGAGAAGAAUCAACACCAAAGGAGGCUGAGUCAGGAGGACCACUUGAGCCCAGGAAUCUGAGACUGCAGUGAGCUGUGAUCACACCGCUAAACUCCAACCUGAGCAACAGAGCAAGACCCUGUCUCAAAAAAAAAAGCCUCAAUACCUGAAACAGAGCUGGCAUGUGGCAUAUCCUCAGAAACAUUUGCUAAAUGACACCUAGUCUAUAGGAGGAGGACUCAUUCUUAACCAUUAGAUUUAGCCAUGCAGAAGUCAGAUCAAGAGUAAACAGAGCAAGAACAGUUUUGGUGCUGUGAUGGGUCAAAAGCCUGAGUCAGAUUACAUGUAUAUAAAUUACCUAGUAACGAGCAUGACCUCUGUCCAAGCAGAAGGCAAGCAGGGGAGAAGAUUUAGCUGCUCAACUACAGUUAUUCUCUCAACCCAAGCUAAGGUGGUACAAGGAAGAAUGGCAGAUUGGCAGAUUGGGUGGCCAGGAGGCUUCACAGAGACCCCGUUGAGAAUCCAGUAAAACCUAUGGUUCCUCUUUUAAGAAAAAUACAUGGGCACGCACAAAAAAACCUUAGUGUUUGUUUCCCUGGUCUUUGUUUCCACACAUGCCCUGAAGCCCAGCUGUGAUGCAGGUUAAGAAUCUCUACCCUGGAUUCCAAAGUGAUAGGAAGAACAGGAAAUGAUCUAUGGAACUCAGCACUUUUCUUCCAGGGAUUCCUUCAAGGCUCCGUGAUGUGAUGGGAGCUCUGCUGUAAGUAAAGCACUAAUCAGUGAGGAGAGAGAGUAGUUCAUCUUCCAGAAGUUUGCCCUCCACACCCUUCUCCAGUCAUCAGGGAACAAUACCACCAUGCAGGUAGUUCCUCCAGUCAUUACUAGAAAGAAACAACGAAGAGUAGCUUGUUUCAUCUCUUCCCAGACUAGAAGCGAUGGGAACCAUAUGUUUGCAACCUAUAGGGUUUUGUGGCAGCUGUUCACUCACUGCGGUAAC
rnacentral:lncRNA from 1 species